rnacentral:ncRNA from 1 species
CUGGACGACCCGCAAGGGGCGUUGAUCGCCGUGCAGGAGUCAGCAGCGGGCAUAGUAGGGCGGCGACGCCCGAAGGCC